UUUUGCUUCUGUAUUACCUACAUACCUACAUUUGUUCUUUAUUUUAAUUUUCUGCAGAUCAUCUCUGGAAUAGAACUCUAAUAGGGCGCAAUUCCAUUUACACUUUUUAUCCAAUCGCAGAUAUGAAAAAUGAUGAUGGAAUAUUUUUAAAAUUCGGCGUAAAAUCAAUCCGUGCUGAUAUCGUUUUUACAAAUGAUCAAUCGAAUAUUGAGAUUAAAAUAUUCUUAAAUAACAUGGAUAGCUUGACAGAUUACUCGGGGAUCUACACAUACACAAGUAGUUCUUAUAACCCACAGAUUACUCAUUAUGAGAAAAAUAUCAUAUCGCACACAGAAUGGCGUAGAUUCUGGAUUAGAAUCACAGCAGACGGAUCAUCAAUUGAAGUUGGAAAAAAUAGAGAACCUGCCUUUAUGGUUUUAAAAACAACGCCUAGGCCAAUCAAGUACUUUAGGUAUGGCUGGUUACUCUGGUCAUUAUCGUGCUGACGGUUAUGCUGAGUGGGUUAUCUUUCCGAACGACAAAAUACAAGCUAAAUUACUAGUAUUCCUGGGAUAACAAAAUAAUUGGCACCCGAACAAAUGAACUUCAGACUUCAAACCAAAUCGUUUCGCUUCCAUCCUAUGAGUCCGGACAAAUCCAUAAAUUCACAGAAGUGAGAAAUACUCGUAAUUUAAUUUCACUAUGAUUUCUACCUCUAUCAUGUUUGAUUUUCGAACAUUAUUCCGCAUUGUUAUUAGUAAUAAAAUGAAGUAUAAAAGUA